rnacentral:rRNA from 1 species
UGGGGAAUAUUGCACAAUGGGCGCAAGCCUGAUGCAGCCAUGCCGCGUGUGUGAAGAAGGCCUUCGGGUUGUAAAGCACUUUCAGCGAGGAGGAAGGUGGUGAGCUUAAUACGCUCAUCAAUUGACGUUACUCGCAGAAGAAGCACCGGCUAACUCCGUGCCAGCAGCCGCGGUAAUACGGAGGGUGCAAGCGUUAAUCGGAAUUACUGGGCGUAAAGCGCACGCAGGCGGUUUGUUAAGUCAGAUGUGAAAUCCCCCGGGCUCAACCUGGGAACUGCAUUUGAAACUGGCAAGCUAGAGUCUCGUAGAGGGGGGUAGAAUUCCAGGUGUAGCGGUGAAAUGCGUAGAGAUCUGGAGGAAUACCGGUGGCGAAGGCGGCCCCCCUGGACGAAGACUGACGCUCAGGUGCGAAAGCGUGGGGCAGCAAACAGGAUUAGAUACCCUGGUAGUCCACGCUGUAAACGAUGUCGAUUUUGGAGGUUGUGCCCUUGAGGCGUGGCUUCCGGAGCUAACGCGUUAAAUCGACCGCCUGGGGGAGUACGGCCGCAAGG